UAGGGAAUCUUCGGCAAUGGACGGAAGUCUGACCGAGCAACGCCGCGUGAGUGAAGAAGGUUUUCGGAUUGUAAAGCUCUGUUGUAAGAGAAGAACGAGUGUGAGAGUGGAAAGUUCACACUGUGACGGUAUCUUACCAGAAAGGGACGGCUAACUACGUGCCAGCAGCCGCGGUAAUACGUAGGUCCCGAGCGUUGUCCGGAUUUAUUGGGCGUAAAGCGAGCGCAGGCGGUUAGAUAAGUCUGAAGUUAAAGGCUGUGGCUUAACCAUAGUACGCUUUGGAAACUGUUUAACUUGAGUGCAAGAGGGGAGAGUGGAAUUCCAUGUGUAGCGGUGAAAUGCGUAGAUAUAUGGAGGAACACCGGUGGCGAAAGCGGCUCUCUGGCUUGUAACUGACGCUGAGGCUCGAAAGCGUGGGGAGCAAACAGGAUUAGAUACCCCCGUAGUCC
rnacentral:rRNA from 1 species